GGGUAGUUUGACUGGGGCGGUCUCCUCCUAAAGAGUAACGGAGGAGCACGAAGGUUGGCUAAUCCUGGUCGGACAUCAGGAGGUUAGUGCAAUGGCAUAAGCCAGCUUGACUGCGAGCGUGACGGCGCGAGCAGGUGCGAAAGCAGGUCAUAGUGAUCCGGUGGUUCUGAAUGGAAGGGCCAUCGCUCAACGGAUAAAAGGUACUCCGGGGAUAACAGGCUGAUACCGCCCAAGAGUUCAUAUCGACGGCGGUGUUUGGCACCUCGAUGUCGGCUCAUCACAUCCUGGGGCUGAAGUAGGUCCCAAGGGUAUGGCUGUUCGCCAUUUAAAGUGGUACGCGAGCUGGGUUUAGAACGUCGUGAGACAGUUCGGUCCCUAUCUGCCGUGGGCGCUGGAGAACUGAGGGGGGCUGCUCCUAGUACGAGAGGACCGGAGUGGACGCAUCACUGGUGUUCGGGUUGUCAUGCCAAUGGCACUGCCCGGUAGCUAAAUGCGGAAGAGAUAAGUGCUGAAAGCAUCUAAGCACGAAACUUGCCCCGAGAUGAGUUCUCCCUGACUCCUUGAGAGUCCUGAAGGAACGUUGAAGACGACGACGUUGAUA
rnacentral:rRNA from 1 species